rnacentral:lncRNA from 1 species
UGGUUUGGAAAAACAUUGAUCUUCCGUAUUUUAGCCGUGGGUCGUCGGGAAGGUACAGCAACGCCCGCAGCAGUCUUGGUCACGUGGUAGAGCCUUGGUGGGCGUAGCAGGUCUUGUGUGCGCUGUUGCUUAUCUCGACCGUUUCUUGAAAUGACUGCAAAAGAUGCAGU